rnacentral:rRNA from 1 species
GACGUAGGGGGCGAGCGUUGUCCGGAAUUAUUGGGCGUAAAGAGUUCGUAGGCGGUUAUUUAAGUCUGGUGUUAAAGACGGGAGCUCAACUCCCGCAUGGCAUUGGAAACUGGAUAGCUAGAGUACGGUAGAGGUCUCGGGAAUUCCAGGUGUAGCGGUGAAAUGCGUAGAUAUCUGGAGGAACACCGGUGGCGAAAGCGCGAGACUGGGCCGUAACUGACGCUGAGGAACGAAAGCCAGGGUAGCCAAAGGG